AGCCAGACUCCUACGGGAGGCAGCAGUGGGGGAUAUUGCACAAUGGAGGAAACCCUGAUCCAGCGACGCCGCGUGAGUGAAGAAGUAUUUCGGUACGUAAAGCUCUAUCAGCAGGAAAGAAAAUGACGGUACCUGACUAAGAAGCCCCGGCUAACUACGUGCCAGCAGCCGCGGUAAUACGUAGGGGGCAAGCGUUAUCCGGAUUUACUGGGUGUAAAGGGAGCGUAGACGGCAGCGCAAGUCUGGAGUGAAAUGCCGGGGCCCAACCCCGGAACUGCUCUGGAAACUGUGAAGCUGGAGUGCAGGAGAGGUAAGCGGAAUUCCUGGUGUAGCGGUGAAAUGCAUAGAUAUCGCGCAGAACUCCGAUUGCGAAGGCAGCUUGCCGGCUCCACACUGACGCUGAGGCACGAAAGCGUGGGUAUCGAACAGGAUUAGAUACCCGCGUA
rnacentral:rRNA from 1 species